rnacentral:rRNA from 1 species
AGAUUGAACGCUGGCGGCAGGCCUAACACAUGCAAGUCGAGCGGCAGCACGGGUACUUGUACCUGGUGGCGAGCGGCGGACGGGUGAGUAAUGCCUAGGAAUCUGCCUGAUAGUGGGGGAUAACGUUCGGAAACGGACGCUAAUACCGCAUACGUCCUACGGGAGAAAGUGGGGGAUCUUCGGACCUCACGCUAUCAGAUGAGCCUAGGUCGAUUAGCUAGUGAGGUAAAGCUACCAAGGCUACGAUCCGUAACUGGUCUGAGAGGAUGAUCAGUCACACUGGAACUGAGACACGGUCCAGACUCCUACGGGAGGCAGCAGUGGGGAAUAUUGGACAAUGGGCGAAAAGCCUGAUCCAAGCCAUGCCGCGUGUGUGAAGAAGGUCUUCGGAUUGUAAAAGCAACUUUAAAGUUGGGAGAAGGGCAAUUAAACCUAAAUACGUUAAGUGUUUUGACGUUACCGAACAGAAUAAAGCAACCGGCUAAACUCUAGUGCCAGCAAGCCGCGGUAA